UGAACAGUUUAAGGGACCAUACUCCCUAGA
rnacentral:piRNA from 2 species